UUUAUGGAGAGUUUGAUCCUGGCUCAGGAUGAACGCUGGCGGCGUGCCUAAUACAUGCAAGUCGAGCGAACGGACGAGAAGCUUGCUUCUCUGAUGUUAGCGGCGGACGGGUGAGUAACACGUGGAUAACCUACCUAUAAGACUGGGAUAACUUCGGGAAACCGGAGCUAAUACCGGAUGAUAUUUUGAACCGCAUGGUUCAAAAGUGAAAGACGGUCUUGCUGUCACUUAUAGAUGGAUCCGCGCUGCAUUAGCUAGUUGGUAAGGUAACGGCUUACCAAGGCAACGAUGCAUAGCCGACCUGAGA
rnacentral:rRNA from 1 species